UCCAUUGGUGGAGGUAAUUACAUCUUAAUUAGCGGUCAGGUGCUGCCAUAGUAACGAGCCGGCCCGCCCCAAAUCCUCCGACUACGGAGGCCAUCCGUGACAACAAUACCAGGGGCGGGCAAAGAGGACUAUGGGGAGAGCACAACACAGUAACAUAACUACACAUCUAUAAAACUGCUCGUAACAUACGCAGAGUAUUCAUCCCUUAAUUGUGAGAGCCAAGCAUCUCAUUACUUAUCUACAACACCUCCAAACGCCGAGAGAGCAAGGGAGAGGAGGCCCUGACGCAUCCCCAGAGCACGGAGCAGUGCAAGGCUGAGCUGCAGGAGGAGAUGAGGCAGUGGAACAAGUUGGAGGAAGAGCAGUGGGAGGGGAAGCAGAAGCUGCUGCAGUGGGCAAGGAAUAUGAGGAUGGAGCAGGCAAACAGAGCUGAGAGAACUGAACUCGGUGCUGAGGCCAGUUGGCACAGAACAUCUUGCUCAACAGCUUCAUCAACUUCAAAAACUAUAUCAAAUUCACUCUUGGGGAGUGGUCCCAGGACACUUUCACUUAAAAACUUUGUCUGAAAAUCAUUUGCAAGAACACUACUUAGCACAGAGCUAGUGCAGCAGGGACCUACACCUGGUCAGGUAAGGAGAGGCUGUGCUGCACAUGGCUUGUGUGAGAGCUGCCACUGCUCGUGUGUCAGAGCAAAGUUCAAGAGUUGCUGCUGUAAUUCCAUUUUUCUUGGCUGUUUUAUCCAAGUGUCUGGUUUCUCACAUUUCUGAGACCUCUUAGAGACAGCUCACAGCUACAGGAACAGCAGAAGGGAUUGUCUAUGGAAAACUUACAGAGAAUGUGCACUGGCAGAAAGCCAACGGUGUCCUGGGCUGAUCCCCCAGCAUGGGCGGCAUGUAAAGGAGAGGAUUGUGCCCCUCUUCUCAGGUGAGAGCCCACUUGCAGAGCUGCCUCCAGCUCUGGGACCCCCAGCACAAGAAGGAUGUGGAGCAGCUGAAGUAGCUCCAGAGGCCACCAAGAAGAUCCAGAGGCUGGAGUCCCUCUCUUCUGGAGCCAGGCUGGGAGAGCUGGGGGUGUUCACCUGGAGGAGAGAAGGCUCUGGGGAGACCUUAGAGCCCUUUCCAGGGCCUAAAGGGUCUCCAGCAAAGCUGGAGAGGACUUUGGACAAGUACCUAGAGUGCCAGGGCAAGGGGGAAUGGCUUCCCAAUGCCAGAGGGCAGGGAUAGAUGGGAUAUUGGGAAGAAAUUUUUCCCUGUGAGGGUGGUGAAGCCCUGAUACAGGUUGCCUGGAGAAGCUAUGACUACCUCAUCAAACAACCUGGUCUAUGGGAAGGUGUCCCUGCCCAUGGCAAAGGGGUGGAAUGGGUUGGCCUUUAAGGUCCCUCCCAGCCCAAAACAGUCUGUGAGUCUUUGAACUCUAUGGAAUAUGGCAUAACCUGAAGCACGGAACAGUUUCUUUCACACAGAUGUGAACAAGAGUGCUAUUAUAUGACUGGAGGGACUAGAGAAAAAAAAACAAAACCUGAAUACAAUUACUACCACCUUUGUCUCUUGCCUGCAGAACAGAAAACAGUAGUGUUUUAGAAUGGUGAGUUAUUCUCAGGUUCUGUGAAUUGGCAGAAAUCAGUGGACAGUGUGUUCCCUUCCAAGGAAAACCUAGUUCCAAAAAAAAACCUCCCAUAAUUUUGCAUUUCUGUAGUGGUUUGUCACAUGGAGGAUUUUUGGUGAAUAUAUGGGAAUAGAAUUGUGUGUGAGGGAGAGACCGAGAUAACAUCACAGUGAGGGUUAAGUCCCUUUCCACUCUCUCAUUUCCUUAUUAGUGCUAAAAUCUGUAGCACAGUUACCCAUAGCACUCCAUUUGGCAGCAGCUCGUUGUUAAGUAAACACAUAUUCCCAUCAGAUAAAUACACUUUGGUGUCAUAAACUUACAUAGCCACCACAUACAGCUUCACUUCAGCGUCCUCCUGUCUCCUGCACAGAUGGUGAAACCUGACAUAAAACACAAGGUUUGU